AUUAGAUCAAGGCAAACCGUGUGAAAACGCGGGGCGCAAAGCUGCUGGUCUAUAUGUCGUUCUCCGACGGCAUAGGGCCGGCAGGUGUAAUU
rnacentral:ncRNA from 1 species